rnacentral:rRNA from 1 species
UUAAUGAGAGUUUGAUCCUGGCUCAGGACGAACGCUGGCGGCGUGCCUAAUACAUGCAAGUAGAACGCUGAAGGAGGAGCUUGCUUCUCUGGAUGAGUUGCGAACGGGUGAGUAACGCGUAGGUAACCUGCCUGGUAGCGGGGGAUAACUAUUGGAAACGAUAGCUAAUACCGCAUAAGAGUGGAUGUUGCAUGACAUUUGCUUAAAAGGUGCACUUGCAUCACUACCAGAUGGACCUGCGUUGUAUUAGCUAGUUGGUGGGGUAACGGCUCACCAAGGCGACGAUACAUAGCCGACCUGAGAGGGUGAUCGGCCACACUGGGACUGAGACACGGCCCAGACUCCUACGGGAGGCAGCAGUAGGGAAUCUUCGGCAAUGGACGGAAGUCUGACCGAGCAACGCCGCGUGAGUG